rnacentral:misc_RNA from 1 species
GAAAUGCGAUAAGUAGUGUGAAUUGCAGAAUUCAGUGAAUCAUCGAAUCUUUGAACGCACAUUGCGCCCUUUGGUAUUCCUUAGGGCAUGCCUGUUCGAGCGUCAUCUAAACCUUCAAGCCCUGCUUGGUGUUGGGUGCCUGUCCCGCCUCCGCGCGCGGACUCACCUCAAAUCCAUUGGCGGCCCCCGCGUCGGCCACGAGCGCAGCAGAAACGCGAACUCGUGCGCCCGUCCGGGCGGCUCCCAGAAGCUACACCCACCCAGUUUGACCUCGGAUCAGGUAGGGAUACCCGCUGAACUUAAGC